GGCGGCUGUCUCAGCACACUCUGCAAAGCAUGCUUUCUGCAGUCCUACACUGGGACAGUUUUCUUAUGGUUGUCUUUAUCAAGUUGAGAAACGUGAAAGAUUUCCCAGCUUAGCACCAUCACCUUCCACUUUCGAGACUUCUCUUUUUGACGUUGCUUUAAGAUGAAAACACUUCUGCACUCAAGCUGCAAAAUUGCACAAGAAAAUGUGUUUAAGUUACAAAAUGGAAAUUUCUUGUGACAUCCCUAUUACAGUAGACAAUAUUCAAGCUGAUGUAGUAUCAGAGGAUGCCAUUUGAAGAGGAGACAGUGUAGGCACACUGCAUACUCACCGUACUCAUCACCUCGAAAAAGCUGAGCAUCCUGAGGCUCAUCCGUGACCCAUCCUGCAAAGAGAUCAGAUACAGUACUGACAACAGAAUUUUGUAGAAGAGAGCCCCCUACG